rnacentral:rRNA from 1 species
CCUACGGGUGGCUGCAGUGGGGAAUAUUGGACAAUGGGCGAAAGCCUGAUCCAGCCAUGCCGCGUGUGUGAAGAAGGCCUUCGGGUUGUAAAGCACUUUCAGUGGGGAAGAAAGCCUUGGGGCUAAUACCCUCGAGGAAGGACAUCACCCACAGAAGAAGCACCGGCUAACUCCGUGCCAGCAGCCGCGGUAAUACGGAGGGUGCGAGCGUUAAUCGGAAUUACUGGGCGUAAAGCGCGCGUAGGCGGUCUGAUAAGCCGGUUGUGAAAGCCCCGGGCUCAACCUGGGAACGGCAUCCGGAACUGUCAGGCUAGAGUGCAAGAGAGGAAGGUAGAAUUCCCGGUGUAGCGGUGAAAUGCGUAGAGAUCGGGAGGAAUACCAGUGGCGAAGGCGGCCUUCUGGACUGACACUGACGCUGAGGUGCGAAAGCGUGGGUAGCAAACAGGAUUAGAUACCCGAGUAGUC